rnacentral:rRNA from 1 species
AUGCCACCUUCCGUGCACGACACGGAAGGCCUGCCGUUCAUGAAGCAUGGUUGUGUCUUCAUUGCACACCGUCGGAUGAACGACAUGCUGGGACACGCUAUCCCUGAUUUAUGCCGCUUCAGCUUGGAUGAGUCUCCAUCCAUGACCCUCUUUUGUUGGUCGAAGAAGGAUUGGCCGGUGCUGCCGGCUGGCGUCAAGUUUGAUCCCACGGAUCAGGAGCUGAUCGAGCACCUUGAGGCCAAAGUGAGUGCUGACAGCGCGAGAUCUCAGUCUCUCAUCGAUUUGUUCAUACCAACCAUCAACAGCGAGCACGACAUAUGCUACACCUAA